UAGGUGAAAAGUAAAGCUGCUUGUUAUGACCCAAUGAUCACUCCAAUACCUUUGCUUUCACGCUCUUGGAACUAAACUGGAUACCUGGGGAGUUGUUUUGCACACAAUAUAGGCAACAGGAAUCCUAUCUCAGUCCUCUGAUUUCUAGAAGAUUGAGGAGGGAGUGAAGAGUUGGCACUAGGAAGAAAAGAAAGGCUAAUUUCCCCAGCUGCUACAAUCCUCUGAACAACUUUUGGUUUUGGUCUCAGAGAAAGUCACUUGCAUGGCCAACUAGAGAUAGGGACCCCACCUCAGUCCUGAAUGCCUUGCUUGCCUCCAGCCUGGGUCAGAGCAACACUCUCUGAAGUUACAACCGCUUGUGAAAAAUAAAGAGCUGCACCUGGAGACUGCUCAGAAACUCCAUCUGGUGCAGAAUACAUCUGGCAUUUCCCCACAGAGCAGCUUACACCCGUGCUCCAGUAUCAGCCCAGGUUUCCAGCUAAACUCCAGCUGCAAUCCAAGUUAAUAAACCUGUAGGAUUGGCUAUAGGUGCUGUCUUUGAGCGAUCUAAGGUGCAAUUGACCUGAGCAGCUCAGCAAUGGUUCUUCAGAGGACUUGGAGAAUCUGGACACCGAAUGCUCUGAAGGAGUAAAUGGAUUGGGCCUGAUCUGGUAUUGCCUAGAUCCCAAACCAGAUGCUCAACAGGAUGCCGAGAGAGAAGGGAUGCUUAUUCUGUAGGCCGGUAUGAUCUAACAUUGAAGAAGAAAUAUGGUGUUAAGCCUGUGCAAGGCAGUAAACAAGAAGUGUGCAAUUGUGGAAGGCAUCAGGCACUGCUGGGGAGAGAUGUAAUCUGAGGGCUGCCCGGGGUGUCAUAGAUGUCCCCAGCCGGAGGAGCCAUGACUGUGUGAACUGGAUUGUAGAUGAUGUGAACUGUAAAAUCAGACUGGGUUCCGACAUCCCUGCGGAGAAACGAGCCGGUAGCAGAUCGUACCCUCCCAGGCUGGGGCUAGAGAGGGCUCUGAAGGCAAAUUUACAUUCGGACUCACCUACAGAAUUUGUCGUCCCUCUGCUGUGAGACUCCCCCGACACACAGACAAAUGGAGACUGAAGAGCAUGUUGGAUGGAGUCAUCUGGCUCGGCCUGGCCUCAGCUCUUUAUCCGUUUAGAUUCAGGAACAGUUAAGGCAUCUGUUGGUUGUUUCUAAAGCACAGGGGUGCUCUCUGGACUGAGCGCAGAUGCCAAAAGCCAGCCCGGGGAGGUCGCUGGAAGGACCUCCCCCAGCCAGACGUGGCAGCAGAGAACACACCUGGAUAAAUGAGGUGGUACAGAAAAGGGAGGGGAACCUGGGACUGUCCAGGCGGGAGUCAGGGCUGGGACUGGUAGCAAGGAAGGAUUCACCUGAGGAGGUGACAUCAGUGAGGAGGAAACUACCUUGCAGGUUAGCUAGAAGCAGUGAUAGCUCCACCUCAAGUAAACAUGGUCAGAGACCCUCUCCCGUGGAUGAUGGCUCUGGGGAAGAAUAGGCAGCUUAGAAGUAGCGUGGUGCAUAGAAGGGCACAGCCAGUGCAGGUCAUUGCAUGCGUGAGGAUUGGACAGCUCAGGAGACAAGGAGGGCUGAGAUAGGCUGGGAGACUGUGCACUGAGUGACUGAUGCAGAGAUGGGACCUGCUGAAGUCAUAGCAGGGAGCAGAGCAUGUAACCCACAGGGGGGGAGCAACCAGUAGCUGAGCGGGGGGAACAGAAAGUGAGUGGCAAAUGGAUGGAGGGAGUUUUCUACAGGGAGUCCUUAGCCGGA